rnacentral:rRNA from 1 species
GAUGAACGCUAGCGGGAGGCCUAACACAUGCAAGCCGAGCGGUAUUGUUUCUUCGGAAAUGAGAGAGCGGCGUACGGGUGCGUAACACGUGUGCAACCUGCCUUUAUCUGGGGGAUAGCCUUUCGAAAGGAAGAUUAAUACUCCAUAACAUAUUGAACGGCAUCGUUUAAUAUUGAAAGCUCCGGCGGAUAGAGAUGGGCACGCGCAAGAUUAGCUAGUUGGUGAGGUAACGGCUCACCAAGGCGAUGAUCUUUAGGGGGCCUGAGAGGGUGAUCCCCCACACUGGUACUGAGACACGGACCAGACUCCUACGGGAGGCAGCAGUGAGGAAUAUUGGUCAAUGGGUGCAAGCCUGAACCAGCCAUCCCGCGUGAAGGACGACUGCCCUAUGGGUUGUAAACUUCUUUUGUAUAGGGAUAAACCUACCCUCGAGAGGGUAGCUGAAGGUACUAUACGAAUAAGCACCGGCUAACUCCGUGCCAGCCGCCGCCGUAACAC